GCAAGGUCGGUAUACAGGUGGUGCAUGGUUGUCGUCAGCUCGUGUCGUGAGAUGUUGGGUUAAGUCCCGCAACGAGCGCAACCCUCGUUCUAUGUUGCCAGCACGUGAUGGUGGGGACUCAUAGGAGACUGCCGGGGUCAACUCGGAGGAAGGUGGGGAUGACGUCAAAUCAUCAUGCCCCUUACGUCUUGGGCUUCACGCAUGCUACAAUGGCCGGUACAGAGGGCUGCGAAACCGUGAGGUGGAGCGAAUCCCUUAAAGCUGGUCUCAGUUCGGAUUGGGGUCUGCAACUCGACCCCAUGAAGUCGGAGUCGCUAGUAAUCGUGAAUCAGAAUGUCACGGUGAAUACGUUCCCGGGCCUU
rnacentral:rRNA from 1 species